rnacentral:rRNA from 1 species
CCUACGGGAGGCAGCAGUGGGGGAUAUUGCACAAUGGGGGAAACCCUGAUGCAGCGACGCCGCGUGAGUGAAGAAGUAUUUCGGUAUGUAAAGCUCUAUCAGCAGGGAAGAAAAAAGCCGGUACCUGACUAAGAAACCCCGGCUAACUACGUGCCAGCAGCCGCGGUAAUACGUAGGGGGCAAGCGUUAUCCGGAUUUACUGGGGGUAAAGGGAGGGUAGAAGGCAAUACAAGUCGGAAGUGAAAUACCCGGGCUCAACCUGGGAACUGCUUUGGAAACUGUAUGGCUGGAGUGCUGGAGGGGUAAGCGGAAUUCCGAGUGUAGCGGUGAAAUGCGUAGAUAUUAGGAGGA